rnacentral:lncRNA from 1 species
UAAUAUUUAUGUAUACGUCACUAUUCAUAUAUCCGGUACUAUUCAUCAAGUCAUGAAUACGUAUCUAUUCAUGUGUACAAUACAUUUGCCAGUACAGUUAUCAUCCAUGUGUACGGCAUUAUGAACCAAUACGGUACUGUUACAUCAUUAAGGAACCCCAGGUCCUUAUUUACAUGUCAGGGAUCAAGGACCUUCAAGUCCAAUUACAUGUUUACAAAUAUAGUACCGGAGAGACUGCCAGCUCUCAUGUUAACAUCAUCAUCAAGGAUCUUCAAGUCCUGAUGUAAUUAUAUGAUGAGGAUCAAGGAACUUCUGGUCCUGAUCUGCAUACUGUAAAAAACUCAUCAUACAACACAUUUAAUCCAUAAAAUAAAUUGUUAGUAAAUAAAUUACUGGUAUGGACGAUAAACCCGCACCAUACUUUAAAUAAAUGUAAAUGUGCGGUAAAUUAAAUUCAUAAAGUUAAGGUGCUUGUAUGGGCAUUAAUUCUGCUCCAUACAUUUAAAUAAAAGUAAAGGCGUGGACGAUAAACCCGCACCACCCUUUUAAAUAAAUGUAAAUGUGCGGUAAAAUUAAAUUCAUAAAGUUAAGGUGCUUGUAUGGGCAUUAAUUCUGCUCCAUACAUUUAAAUAAAAGUAAAGGCGUGGACGAUAAACCCGCACCACCCUUUUAAAUAAAUGUAAAUGUGCGGUAAAUUAAAUUCAUAAAUUAAAUUGUUUGCUGUAUGGACGUUAAUCCCGCACCAUACUUUAAAUAAAAUUAAAUGUGCGGUAAAGUAAAUGGUGCUUGUAUGGGCACUAAUUCUGCUCCAUACAUUUAAAUAGAAGUAAAGGCGUGGACGAUAAACCCGCACCACCCUUUUAAAUAAAUACUGUUGUAUGGGUAAUAAGCCUACACCAUACAGUAAAUAUAAUAUAUUAUAUUACUUUAAGUAAAAGUAAAUUUGCGGUAAGGUAAAGGCAAUUAUUGGUGGGUUCUCAUCAACACCACGAUCAAAUAGUAUAGCAGAUAAUAUUAUUAUCGUUUGUGGAAGGCAUCAUGCUUGUCUCUUAAAUCAAAUGCUUUCCACCUGUAAUCUGCACACAGUUGGUUUGCUCGUAUAUCUCUCUUGCAGACCACAUCUCCUCCACUACUUUUCUUCCUUACAUCAACAUAAGGGUUAGUAGUAUAGAUAAUAGUGCAACACAAAAAUUAUACCUGAGAGCUUUUCGUGCUGAUAACGUGUUGUAAAAUGAACUGGUAUAUAUGCGAAUAUUGAGCUGCACGUAAAGUAGAUGAGACACAGUAUUUAACGAGGUUCGGCUAUGCCUACAUCCCCGGAGAGCAGCAGCAGUAACUUUUCCACUAUGUAAAAUAAUAGGGCUACAACUUUGUGUUUACAAUAUGUAUGGCUCACUCAAUUUUCUCUCUUGGAGAAUUUCUCUCUUGCUCUCUUUCUUCUCAACUCACUCACCCUCAUUCUUCCUUCUCUUCCUCUUCUCUAUGUGUGUUUACAAGCAAAUAUAAUGCCUAUUUAUAGGCAAAGCAAAUGG